AGCCCCCCUCUGCCUGGACUGAGCGCCACCCUGGCCCACGUUCAGGGAUCAAGCUCUACAACAGCUGGCAGGAAUGUGGCACCAGAAUCAGACAGCCAGCGAUGGCUGCGACAUAUCCUCGUUAAGCGCGCCCACUUUGGAACCAGCCAGAAUUGAAGUCCAGGAUCCUGCAACCUGACCGUAGGCCCAACACUUCAUUCAUCCACUUCUCCCAUACCUCAUCUGUGGAGUGGUCCUAACGCACCUGCCACCACCUGACAGCUUAUGUAUUCGCAAGAGCUGAUUGCUCCCUCCCUCUAGAAUGGAAUCUGCCCGAGGGCAGGGAGUUUUGUCUCGCCAGCACCCAGGGGAGCAGCUGGUCCAAAGGCCUUCACUAAAUGUGAAUACGAAUGAAUGAGUGAUGGAUAUAAACACACAGCUCGCAGGGAGAUGUUGGAACUUCACACUCUUGGUGACCCUGCUUUGUUCACGUGUGUCCUAACUUUUUCCUCCCUCCCCCUGGCCCUUCCUCUUUCUCUUCUUGCCCCGUAGAGUCCGUCGUCCACACAGCAGUUGGAGUGGAUUUCUUAAAAUACGAAUCAAGGUAUACAUUUUCCCCUGAUUAAAAGCCUCCCGUGGACUCCCAUUGUAACUAGAAUGGAUUCCAGCCCCUUCCAGGCCCUUCAUGCUCUAACCCUGGCAACCUCCCAAGUCUUCCUUCUCGCUAGGGCACGCUGUCCUGCCUGCACCCUCGGCCUGGACCACUCUUCCUCCAGUUCCCUCCAUGGCUGGCUCUUUCCCAUCACCGGCUUCCUGUGCAGGGAGCUAUUUCCUAGACACCCAGUCCAAUCCCUUCCUUCUUUUCUUCAUGGACUUACCGCUAAUUGGAGUUCUCUUUAUUUAUUUGCUUCAUAAAAUAGUCGCUCCCCCACCAGAAUGUAAGUCCCUCCAGGGGAGGGGCUGAUUUAUCUAGUUCUCUGCUGGAACCCCAGUGCUCAGUACGUGUUAGGUUAUGGAAAGAAAGAAAGGAUGAAAGAAAGGAAGCUAAAGAGGCUGGAAGGGCGGGGGGGGGGGGGGGGAGGCCUCCUGAUGACUUUGCAUCUGACUCUCAUCUUCCUCUUCUGCAAGUUCUGCUACCGUCCUGGGGGCUCAGCGGCCACAUGGACAAGCAGUCCAGCACCUGGCCUCUGUCAUAGGGGCUGUGCCUCGGGUCCUCUCAUUGCUCAAAGCAGAUGCAGUUAAGGCGCGCCUGGGUGGCUCAGUGGGUUAAGCGUUCGACUUUGGCUCAGGUCACGACCU